rnacentral:lncRNA from 1 species
CUACCAGCUCAGUCCGGAUAUACUGUGCUUCUUUCAAAUUAUCUAUCAGCUCAUCAUUGUCUUCACCAGCACUCACAGCACCGCCCAUGUUCAAGAUUACACUUAGGCAAUACUAUAAUUAAAAAUGUUUAAAAAGAGCGAUUUAUGUUAAAGGUAAGAGCAGAACAAUAGAAGUUCUAAACAGAUACCAAUUUGAAAUUCUGAAUUCUGAAAAUAAUAGAUUAUCUUUUGUCAACACCCACCUCAUCCCCUGCCCCACCCAGAGAUGCCAGAUUUAGAAGGAAAAAAAAUCCCAGUUCAAUUGGAAAUUAAGGUAAACAACAAUACUAAAAGUUAUUUGACGUUUAUUUGAAAUUCAAAUUUAGGCCGGGUGCGGUGGGUCAUGACUGUAAUCCCAGCACUUUGGGAGGCCGAGGCAGUUGGAUCACCUGAGGUCAGGAGUUCAAGAACAGCCUGGCCAACAUGGUGAAACCCCGUCUCUACUAAAAAAUACAAAAAUUAGCCAGGCAUGCUGGUGGAUGCCUGUAAUCCCAGCUACUGGCGAGGCUGAGGGAGAAGAAUCACUUGAACCCGGGAGGCAGAGGUUGCAGUGAUCAGAGCUCGUACCACUGCACUCCAGCUUGCGGAACAGAGCAAGACUCUGUCUCAAAAAAAAAAAAAAAAAAAAGAGAAAAGAAAAAAAACUUUAGGUGGUGUCCUAUAUUACAUCUGGGAAUUCUAUAUCCCCAACAUACACAAAAGUACCCACCCAAGUCAAGCAAUCCAUCUGACCUGUUGAUUUGGAUAUUUUGAUGUUCAAAUUUUAGACAAAAACAGCAAGAAAACACUCUUCCCAAAUUGAACGUACUGUGACAAAUACCUUUUUCUAACAAAUGCAAAAUCAGCUUCCUGGCUAAAGUUUAAGUGUAGGAGGGGCUGCUACCAGAACUUCCUACAGCCCCUCCUCAAUUGCAUGAUACGCAGCUUUCCCAGCUCUUUAAAAAUAACAACUACUUGUCUUACCUUCUCCCAACCUGCCUUCAAGAAGAAAAAGCACAGCAUGUGUCACCUCUGAGCCUAACUAUUAAAAUACAGGGUAGCUUCAGCUAAUUCACAAGAAAACACUUUUUCACGCGGAGAAGUCUUACUCUUCUUAAAACUACAAAAAUAUCCUUUCCAAUUUUAUACUUACCCCAUGUAACUUUUUCAAAGUAACUGCUUUAACUUCAUAUAAAAUGGUAAUGCUUUACAAAACACCAGAUACAAAUUGUCAGGGAAAAAGACCACCAGACCUCAUGAAGACAUUUUCUGAAAUGAACACAACCUUUUUAACAACUUGUUAUAAUUAUGAUGAAGUUUAUACUUGCUUUCCUCCUCACAUUCCUCUGGAUUUCUAACAGUAGAAUGAGGAUCGUAAAGAAAUACUGUGGGGUGACAAGGGGCCUGGGGCGGAUUUCAUACACACCCACGUACACAACUGGAGACAGCGGUGGGAGGUUUUCCCAGGAAUGAAAAUAAUCACAUAGUUUCUUACAAGUGAACAAAAAGUGUGAAGGGUAUAGCUUAACACAAAUUCUCUUCUAUUUUUAUGGUGGAACACUCAAUCUUCACACUCAAGAUUUUAGAGCUGAAUAUUAGGUUUUGCAAAUCAAUAGGAUGGUCCAGUCAUUAAAUUUUCACACCCUUUUUGAAUUUUUUGAAUUGUUUCGGAGCCCUUGUUAGAUUACGGUCCACAGCCAGCUGACUUAGACUUAGAUGGAAUUAAGUCCUAAUGAGGUCAACUUUAAUCCUGGAUAAGCCACUCAGUUCUGAGGCUGCACCCUAGCCUACCACAGUCAUCUUAAAAUUUGGGUCAGUGGUUAAAAGCGGAAUCAUGUGUUUGGAUGCUUAAGGGUCUAUUUAGGAAAAGAGCUGGAAAAUCGCAUACCGUCCUCAGUCAAAGCCACCUCUUCACCCAGAAGCCUGUAUAUAAUGUUCCAACAUUGUCUCAAUGCCACAUCUCUAGAAGGUAACCUCAAACUGUAUGUUGGAUAGGUUUCAUUUUCCACUAAGUAACUAUCACUUAUUUUGAACUCUGCCUUAAUUUGAAAGUUCAGACAGCUUUUUAGUAAAAACAAGCACCUUUUUCCAGGUACCACCUGCCAGUCAUGGCCUCAUUUACACUUCACAACAUUAAGAAGCAAAUUGGAGCUGGCCGGUUAAUUUGUUCAUGAUCACAUAGCCAGUUUGUGAGGAGGGGGCUGCAUUCAAACCCAGGACUGUAUGGCAAAAGGCCUGUGUUUUUAAUACCACACCAGUGCAGCUUUUAAAAAUACUCAAGACAGCAACGUUCUUUACCACACAACACACCGGUAACCUUUUGACGAUGGGGUAACCCUAUCUAUACCUAUUGCCACUGGUAGGAUCCAUGUGAAUAGCUGUGGGGUCUGAUAUUUAUUACCAUCUUUGUCUGGUAAUCUAACACUCCCUCGCACUGAAAACCAUCGAUAUGAUCAGUCAUGAUGUCACCAAAAACACCGACAACAAAGCUCUUCGCCAAACCAAAUCCUAUCAUUUUCACCCAGAUUCUACAAUCUGGUCAAAUCCAAUUUUUCAAAGUAAAAGUGUAGAAUCAUUUUUAGAACGCUGCACUCGAUGAUACUGUGCACAUUGUCUGCUGUAAUUAAUCCUUAAUAUAAUUCACUACUCUGUGGUAACUAGCAACAGUCCAUAACAACCUGGCUGCUCCUUACAAUGCGAACUGCCAGGGCACAUGAAGAACACUUGCUGAGUGGCGACAGGCAUGGGAAGGUCUCAGAACUGACACCUGAGUUGUGAUUGUGGCUGUGUCAACACAAGCAUGAAGCUAUGGUAGUGGGGUUUUGGGAGGCGACAUACGGAAGAUCACAUUCCAACUUGGAUGUCACUUCUUUAGGGUAAUAUGGACAAAGUAAUUCAUUGUGGAAGAUGAGUGGGGAAAAGGACCCAAAGCCACAUCUCCUUUGGGCAGAAUGAUCAAACAAACACACAAACAGAUUUCUCACCUUGAAAACCAGAACUCUUACAAGCAAUGCAAAGGGACUUUUUUCAAAUACAGAUGGUCUCCGACUUCGGAUGGUUCGACUUCAGGUUUAACGAUGUGUUUACUGGGAUGCGACCCCACCGUAAGCCGGGGAGCACCUAUACUUGAAAGGCUGUCACAUGUACACUAUUAAUGGGCCUAACAAAAGCCAGACCAGUGGUACAUGUUGGAGACAAUGCCUACUAAAUACACAGAGAAGCUUUCUAACAAAUGAAGUUGCAAUGAAUGAAAGGAGCUCUUGAUAAGCCCAGCCAAGUUCCACUGGAGGUACGAGCUGGGGUGGCGCAGGGAGCAAGGCCCUGGAUCGGUCACCUCUGAGGUCUCCUCUCAUCACCUGAGUGUAGGGCUCUAUUUCCCCCAAGCGUGGCCACAACAAUUUCUGAGUUGCUUAUAGGCACCUCAACUUCACUCAUUCUUGAAUGACAGUCUAUCAAACGCCCAGAUAGGAGCUGUUUAGCCAUUCCCUUGAGAAGAAAAAUGAAAACUAUUCUAGUCACACGAGUAAAGAGGGGGUGGAUAAAGAGGGCGUGGAUAUUUAGGUGACUUAUUUGAGGUGCAACGCUGGAGCAAACAUUCAUUUAGGAGACACGUCCCUCUCACAAAAACAAAACAAAGGCCCGAAGCUCAGGCAAGUUCUCCUUCCUCCAACUAACAAAGAUCUCUUUCCAUGCGUGAAUUGAAGUCCCAGUGCUCUGCUCCAAUUCUUACUAUCUCCAAGGCACGGGGCGGGGGGGCGCAAUUAUUUUUUUAAAAAAUCCUGUCAUCUUCUGAAAGGGUCCAAGGCAGACUUUGUUCUAAACCUUAGCUCUUGGCUUGCCUUGGAACUGCAAACGUUUCCCACUUGGGAAGUCAAAGACAAGCUGCAGGUCUGGACUAACCAGACCCAAGAGUGUGAGUGAGCAACGGGCACCGGGAGAGACCGACGGGAAACCGCGAGCGCUCGGAGAGAGAAACGCGGGACGCCCUGGAGGCCGCUGGGGGGAGGUGAGGGUGCCCGAGGUGGGGAGGAGCGACGCCCCCAGAGGAGAGCUCCGGGCGCAGGGGUGCCGGGGGUGGGGAAGGAGGAGGGAAGGGGCCGAGGGGACACACCACCCGCUCGCCGCAGGCCGGACCGAGGGGCGGCGGCGGCGGCGGCGGCUCUACCUCCAGGCUCGGCCGGCCGACGGGUUCGGACCGCCUGGGCUGCCACCUGCAGCUCCUCGGGCGCGUCCC